rnacentral:hammerhead_ribozyme from 1 species
GAGUCCCAAAUAGGACGAAACGCGCAUCCUGGAU